AUUGAACGCUAGCGGGACGCCUUACACAUGCAAGUCGAACGGCAGCGCGGACUUCGGUCUGGCGGCGAGUGGCGAACGGGUGAGUAAUGUAUUGGAACGUGCCCAGUAGCGGGGGAUAACUACUCGAAAGAGUAGCUAAUACCGCAUACGCCCUACGAGGGAAAGGGGGGGAUCGCAAGACCUCUCACUAUUGGAGCGGCCGAUAUCGGAUUAGCUAGUUGGUGAGGUAAAGGCUCACCAAGGCGACGAUCCGUAGCUGGUUUGAGAGGACGACCAGCCACACUGGGACUGAGACACGGCCCAGACUCCUACGGGAGGCAGCAGUGGGGAAUUUUGGACAAUGGGGGCAACCCUGAUCCAGCCAUUCCGCGUGUGCGAUGAAGGCCUUCGGGUUGUAAAGCACUUUUGGCAGGAAAGAAAUCGCACGGAUUAAUACUCUGUGUGGAUGACGGUACCUGCAGAAUAAGCACCGGCUAACUACGUGCCAGCCGCCGCAGUAA
rnacentral:rRNA from 1 species